rnacentral:rRNA from 1 species
GACGAACGCUGGCGGCGUGCUUAACACAUGCAAGUCGAACGGAAAGGCCCUGCUUUUGUGGGGUGCUCGAUUGGCGAACGGGUGAGUAACACGUGAGUAACCUGCCCUUGACUUUGGGAUAACUUCAGGAAACUGGGGCUAAUACCGGAUAGGAGCUCCUGCUGCAUGGUGGGGGUUGGAAAGUUUCGGCGGUUGGGGAUGGACUCGCGGCUUAUCAGCUUGUUGGUGGGGUAGUGGCUUACCAAGGCUUUGACGGGUAGCCGGCCUGAGAGGGUGACCGGCGACAUUGGGACUGAGAUACGGCCCAGACUGCUACGGGAGGCAGCAGUGGGGAGUAUUGCACAAUGGGCGGAAGCCUGAUGCAGCAACGCCGCGUGCGGGAUGACGGCCUUCGGGUUGUAAACCGCUUUCGCAUGUGACGAAGCGUGAGUGACGGUAAUGGGUAAAGAAGCACCGGCUAACUACGUG